UACCAGCACCCCCGAGUGGUCGGGACGUUUUAUUGGGCCUAAAGCAUCCGUAGCCGGUUCUACGAGUCUUCCGUUAAAUCCAACUGCUUAACAGGUGGGCUGCGGAGGAUACUAUGGAGCUAGGAGGCGGGAGAGGCAAGCGGUACUCGAUGGGUAGGGGUAAAAAUCCGUUGAUCCAUUGAAGACCACCAGUGGCGAAGGCGGCUUGCCAGAACGCGCUCGACGGUGAGGGAUGAAAGCUGGGGGGAGCAAACCGG
rnacentral:rRNA from 1 species